rnacentral:rRNA from 1 species
AUUGAACGCUGGCGGCAGGCCUAACACAUGCAAGUCGAACGGCAGCACAGAAGAGCUUGCUCUUUGGGUGGCGAGUGGCGGACGGGUGAGUAAUGUCUGGGAAGCUGCCCGAUGGAGGGGGAUAACUACUGGAAACGGUAGCUAAUACCGCAUAACGUCGCAAGACCAAAGUGGGGGACCUUCGGGCCUCACACCAUCGGAUGUGCCCAGAUGGGAUUAGCUAGUAGGUGGGGUAAUGGCUCACCUAGGCGACGAUCCCUAGCUGGUCUGCGAGGAUGACCAGCCACACUGGAACUGAGACACGGUCCAGACUCCUACGGGAGGCGGCAGUGGGGAAUAUUGCACAAUGGGCGCAAGCCUGAUGCAGCCAUGCCGCGUGUAUGAAGAAGGCCUUCGGGUUGUAAAGUACUUUCAGCGGGGAAGAAGGCGGUGAGGUUAAUAACCUUGCCGAUUGACGUUACCCGCAGAAGAAGCACCGGCUAACUCCGUGCCAGCAGCCGCCGUAA